ensembl:lncRNA
CAAAGUUAAUGCUUAAUGCACCAAAUUGGGCACCCGUGUGCUGUGGUCAGAGCAGGUGGGUGACUUAUGCGUGUUGGGCAUGGGAUAAGUGCCUCCCACCGGUGUAAUCGUUUCCACAGGCAGCCUUUGGAGUGCUGUUGUGAAUGUGCACCAAUGCCUCAGCUAUGCCAGCUCAACGCUGGUGGACUCAGCUCUCUCUUGGAAGCCCCUCAGACCUCAACAGUGAAAGCAAAGUGUGUGGCUGUGAUUGCUGUAUGGCGGGGUAACCCGCUGGUUCUACAGUGGAAAACCAGGGAAAAAAAGCCCCACAGAGUACAUCGUGGGAAGGCAGUGAAUAGCAGUCUGUUAAGGUUUAGAGGAAGGUGAAGGAUGGAUUUUUUUGUUUGUUUGUUUGGCUUUUGAAGACGUAAUGCUGCCUUAAUGAUUUCCCUGAUGUCUGCAGUUGUAUGCUGUCACAGAGCAGAGAAUAGCUGAUCUCCUCCUAUCCAUUUUACCCAGUGUAAGUCUGUUCAGAGCAGCCUUUAAUGGCCAGCACUGAUCUAACUCUCGUGGCAGGCAAAUGAUCAGUUAUAAUUGCACUGAAAUCAAUGAAUAUAUACUCACACGAAACCGAGAAGAAAAAUGCUUUUGUGAUGUUUUAUAUUUGUAUAGCUGGAAGUCAGCGAUAGCUGCCACAAACACCGUGUGUCCUCUCAGACAAAGCAGUCGAUACCACUCUUAGAGCUGCCCGGAAAGUUUCUUUCUCCAGUUUCAGCAGCUUUUGGUGAGGAAAGCACGAGUAGCUAUCUUGGAACGAGAGCUAUUCUGGGGAAACUUCUUGUUCCAGUGACUGAUCUCCUCUUUCAUUCUGUGGUCUUCAUCUUAGCUUGCACAUAUACACGCUAUUAGCAGUGGGCAAGGACUGUUCUCUUAAACAGGGACGCUUCCUUAUGUCAUCAGGUGUCGUAGAAUCAUAGGAGCACAAAGGUUGGAAAAGACCCACAGGAUCAUCCAGUCCAACCAUUACAAGGUGUCACAAGGUUGUUUCUAAUGACCGUGUUUUAAACUGUUGUUCUUUACAUCAGUUGUAGGUGUUCCUCUCUCGGCGUAACAUCGCCUCCUGUUUACGCUUGGUUGUUAUAUUCCAGGUAGUUCUGCUGUGCAAAUGGGGAUUGUAGUUGAGGGGAGGCCUUACGUGGACUGUAGGACUUGUGCUUUCCCUGGAGAGAGGGGAUUCUUGGGAAUGUGGAGCCCCGGGGGCACAAAGCGGGUGUGAUGGAGGGAUGAGUCGGACCUCUGACUGUGACUUUGAUGUGUUGUAUUCGUGUUCUGGGUGUGCUGCGUUCAGUGAGCACCUAGGCGAGCACCUAGCAAGUGAAAAACUCUCCGACAUGGGAUGCCUCUUCUUUCCAGAGCUUAUCCCACUCCUUACUGAAGUGCAGAGCUGUUGGUUGCAUUUCUAGGGGGAACUGCAGUGCAUAAACUUGCCGAGGAAAUCAGCUCUGCCAGGCAACACAGGUUCAUUUCCUGCAUUGUCUCCAAUCCAAUAGUAGUAUGACCUCAUACUUCUAUUUUCACUUUCUGCAUUGUAGAUUUGCAUCAGCAUUUUUUAGAGUCUGAAAGUGGAUCAGGAGUAGAGGAGUAGGAACAACCUUGCAUCUUCAUACAUUCCAGUGUCUGCCCGCGCCAAAUUACUUCUAUGGGCGUUGCUGUGGACUGACGUCUUUGUUUCUGUUUCCAGAGGAAAACAAUGUUAUUGCUAAAUUAAGGAAAAUGAAGUUUCUUAGAGGCAGCAGCCUCGAAUAUGAUCACAGUGAGAGCUAAGACUGCUCGCUCAGCUGUUCUCAGGAGCAAAACAAAGCCUUAUGUCAAAGGUGUCUUCAGUUCGGCACUUACUCUGAGCUUCCUUGAAUGAAUGUCUCGGGCGGAGAAUUAAAACCUGACACCAACGCGGAGUGUUUAGCAGUCUCAGCAGUUGAAAUGAAGUGCAAAGCCACUUGCAAGAACUUGGAAGUGUCAAUGGACUUUGUGUCCAGGAGUGGAGAUCAACAAGCCUAUGACCGGUUGCACUGGUGAAGAAAGUGAUACCAAAACUAGGAAGCUCCAGAGGAAAAGAGCAUCUGAAAUGUAGAGAUGCAGAGAUCUAAGAAAAACUUUCAAAUAUACCUUGUUUGGGUUCAGUUACCGUGGAACUGGAACAUGGUGAAGUUUCAAGCUGAUAACGUGUCCCCUUGAAAUCUACAGAAGCAGGGUUUUCCCCACUACGUAGGGUAACCAUGGCUGAAAUGUGUGGGGCCAGAUCCUUUUCUCAUUCAUGAUGACAAAAAUCCAGACCUGGUGUAUUUUGCUCCUCACAGUGAAGAGAAAGAGAUCACAACAACUCUACUACCUAUCUGCAGCAAAUCCGCAGUUCCUGCUGGAGAGUAUGCUUCUUCCAUUGUGCUGUUCAAAACCGUUACUGUUAAUUGUAUGAUGUCAUCUCUUCCUGUAUCCAUUCUGUGUAUGCUGACUCUGUGAGAAGUACCACUGACGGUGCACGUGCUGGAGCAUAUGCUGCAAGGACCUGCAGCAGAGAAAUCCUCACCUGCAUCUCUUAUCAUGCAGAGGCUGCUUCUGUGUAUGGAUGCUCUGUGUAGCUUGAAUGGCUUGUAAAGGGGAAUUACAACUUAACAGAGAUUACAACUUAACAGAAUUCCACCCUAUAAUGUACAAAGUACAAAAAUAAAGGCUCUUUUUUUUUUUCAGUUAAAUCCUCUACCAGAAUGAUGCCAAGAAGCAAAGUAAUCAAACGAUUUUUUUGUUGGUGGUGGUGUUUUUUAAAUCUUCUUAGCUAGAAGACAUGUCAGGAGAGCCAGGGGUGGAGAGCCGCAAAAAUGAAGUAGAG